AACUCAUGUGUCCAAGCCUGCA
rnacentral:siRNA from 1 species